rnacentral:rRNA from 1 species
AGUGAACGCUGGCGGCGUGCCUAAUACAUGCAAGUCGAACGGAGUGGCGCACGCGUGCGUAAUGUAUAGCUAAUCUGCCCUACACUAGAGGACAACAGUUGGAAAAGACUGCUAAUACUCUAUAGUGUAGGAUGAGGCUAUAUUGUAUCAGCUAGUUGGUGAGGUAAUGGCUCACCAAGGCUAUGACGCAUAACUUGUCUGAGAGGAUGAUGAGUCACACUGGAGACUAGACACGGUCCAGACUCCUACGGGAAGUAGCAGUAGGGAAUAUUGCUCAAGGGGGGAAACCCUGAGGCAGCAACGCCGCGUGGAGUAUGACACUUUUCUGGGCGUAAACUCAUUUUGUUAGGGAAGCGGUACCUAACGAAUAAGCACCGGCUAACUCCGUGCCAGCAGCCGCGGUAAUAC